CCCUAGCCCAGAUUGAAGCGGCAUCCUUUCCUUGCUUUCUUUAAGCAAGGAAAGAUAUAGCGAAAAGCUGGACUGGCU
rnacentral:sRNA from 2 species